rnacentral:lncRNA from 1 species
CAAGAAAUAUGGUAAUAGUUUCUCCAGGAAGAAGGAAGGUGAAACCAAUGCAGUGUCAGCAAGGAGGCAGAGGAGUCCUCAUAUCAUAAAAAGUCCGCAACCACGUCAGCAUCAUCAUCAGGUUUCACCAAUUAUUCCAAUAUUUUCCAAUAAUCAAUCAAUGUCAGUUCAACAACAAUGUCAAUAACAACCACAACAAAUAGCAAACAACUACA